CCCCUUUACUACCUGAGUGAUGCUGGUUCCUCGCCUCAGAUACUCGUAGAAAUCUUAUGAGGCUUCGCCCCCAACUGGACGUUUGGCGCCACUACGGAGAGCUGCUUGAUGGCUGUGGUGCAGAGGAGCUUUCUGAGGUCGUCUCUGCUGCACUAACAUCUCCCAGAUGGGUCAAGAACUGAGGAAGCGGAGGAGGAGACUUCUGGCUUGGACAGCAAGGGGACCCGUCGAUGCCAAAAUAACCAAGGGACAGUGGAAAGACGGCUGUGUGUGUUUUAUUCAAUCAUGAAAUACAAUGGUUAGUAAUUACAAAAUUGCGAAAGUAUGAAUCACUUUUUGUUGAACUAACCUCCUCAUUGUAAUCGUAGAGCAACGGGCACAAUCCUGUGCGUGUGUUUAUAUGUGUGUAUGUACAUGUAGGUGUGUGAAAUACCACCGAUAUGUAUUUGAAUGUGCACACCAACAUGGCCAUGUGUUUAGAUGCCUUUCACUGAUGUACGUGUACUUGCUUUUGCAUGUGUGUACUCUUGUACUUCUGCUAUCUUUGUGAGGACAGAAUUGAGUUUUAGACCUCAAGACUGAGGACAUUUUUGUAAAGUGAGGACAUUUUGUCCGGUUUGAAGACUUGCUUUUGGGGUUAAAGUUAGGCUAGGUAACGUAAAGGUUGGGGUUAGACACGUAGAUAUGACGGUUGGGGUUAGAGGCUAGGGAAUGCAUUGUGUCAAGUUUCCUUUUUCCACCGCAGGAACUUUUCCAGGAACCCAGAACCUUUUUUAGGAACUGAGGAGGCUGUGUUUCAUCUGGGGGAACAAGCAAUGGAAGAAAUAUGGGCGCUGCAGCUUGUGCAGAUGCACAGAAGCGCUAGCUAUAGUCAUCGUCAUGGCAACACCUGUUUUAGGUGGACAGAACGAUGGCCUUGGCCUCGUCUUAAUCCUGGUAACACAGCUGCCCGGAUUACCGGCGCACCUUGACCUUGAGCGUUUGAAUCCCUCACUUCCCGGGACAAAGCUGUCGGCCGGUUCACCUGCCGCUCCGCUGAUGGAGAGAUAAACUGAGGAGGAGACGUCAGGCUCAACACAGUCUGAUACACAUCACAGAUGUUACUUCAUUUCAUUAAACGAAAGCUGCUGGUGGCUCAGCACAGUGUUUUAGUUGAUAGAUGAUUGUUGGCUUUUUAUCAAAACUCAUAUCGGCAAGUCAGAGCCAUUCAUCUUUAAUAAUGAUGGUGUUUGAUUUAUUGUUGUUGAACUGAUGGUAAUGCUGCAAAAAUACCCACAAAUAUGUUUUAAUCAAUUGCCCAGUAGUUUCAGAGGCUUCUCCAACAGGCCACGAAAAAGAUUUUUGUGAAAAUGUCUUAGUAAUUGCAACAUUUUAAUAUCAGCUCCAUCAAACACAUGUGAAUGUUUUGAUAAAAAAAAUUGCCAUAAAACAUUUUGUGAACAAGUCACGAAAUUUCUGCCUAAAUUUCUGGUCUUAUUGCACCUUUGAAGAUGGAAAUAGUAAUUCCAGUAUUUGUCAAGUUGGGUUUUAUUCUCAUAAUUGUGGCCGUUCUGACAAUGGGGUCAUGCUAACUAAUGCUAACACUCACCGCUUCUGCUGUAGAGAUUUGGGAAAUGCUGCUAAAACAAUAUAUAACAGCAAGCAGUAUGAGCCACCUAACGCUUUCUUAAUGAACUUAAAUUUCACAUGAAUUAUUUCGCUUAACGCUUGUGUCUGAGUCCGAACAAAAGUAAACACAGAAAGUAACCUCCUGGAUCAGCUAUUGUAACUAGCUGCAUAGAGAGCUUCUUCAGGGGCAACUCAUCGGCUAACCAAACUAGCUUUGUAAGUUUACAGAGGUGGCGAGUGUAAAGACUAUAGUCAAAAUGGCCACAAUUAUGAGAAUAAGACCCAGAUUGAAAAAUACCAUAAUGCUCCUUUAAUGAACUUUAAUGUCCUGCAUUCUUUAAAAAAUAUCUCAUUUGAAUAUUUGAUGUCCACAGCCAAAUAAAUUGUCAAUUCCAAAAGUAUUUUUAUUGGUCUCCACAUUAAACAUACC